UACGUAGGUGGCAAGCGUUGUCCGGAAUCACUGGGCGUAAAGCGCGCGCAGGCGGCGAUCUACGUCUGGGGUGAAAGCCCGGAGCUCAACUCCGGGACUGCCUUGGAUACGGGAUCGCUUGAGGAUUGGAGAGGCAAGGGGAAUUCCACGUGUAGCGGUGAAAUGCGUAGAGAUGUGGAGGAACACCUGUGGCGAAGGCGCCUUGCUGGCCAAUUACUGACGCUGAGGCGCGAAAGCGUGGGGAGCGAACAGG
rnacentral:rRNA from 1 species